rnacentral:ncRNA from 1 species
UCAAAUGCAAAGAUGGGGAAGAGUAUGUGAAUUCGUCUUUCUUAGAGAGAAAGUGGUUGCUGCAAACUUUCAAAGAAGAUUCACAGAAGGUAGCCUCGGAGCAGUUUUUCUGAACUUAUAGUAGGAAAAACCGGUGCAAUUCGCAUCGUUAAUGGAAUGAAGUGCCAAAGUCUUUUUGCUUUGGUAAAAAGGUGGUACCGCGAAUCUAAACUCUUUUCGUCCUUUUC